AUUGAACGCUGGCGGCAGGCCUAACACAUGCAAGUCGAACGGUAACAGGAAGAAGCUUGCUUCUUUGCUGACGAGUGGCGGACGGGUGAGUAAUGUCUGGGAAACUGCCUGAUGGAGGGGGAUAACUACUGGAAACGGUAGCUAAUACCGCAUAACGUCGCAAGACCAAAGAGGGGGACCUUCGGGCCUCUUGCCAUCGGAUGUGCCCAGAUGGGAUUAGCUAGUAGGUGGGGUAACGGCUCACCUAGGCGACGAUCCCUAGCUGGUCUGAGAGGAUGAACCAGCAAAAUGGGAACGAGAACCGGUCCAGACCCCCAAGGGGGGCAGCCGUGGGGAAAUUUUGCCAAUGGGCGCAAGCCCGAAUGAGCCCUUGCGCGGGGGUGAAGAAGGCCUUUGGGUUGUAAAAGUCUUUUCGGGGGGAAGAAAGGGAGUAAAUUUAAUCCCUUUUGUCAUGACCGUUCCCCAAAAAAAAAGCACGGGCAAACUCCGU
rnacentral:rRNA from 1 species